rnacentral:tRNA from 1 species
GGGCGCGUAGCUCAGGGGUAGAGUGCUUGCUUGACAUGCAAGAAGUCAAUGGUUCGAAACCAUUCGUGCCCACCA